GACGAACGCUGGCGGCGUGCUUAACACAUGCAAGCCGAACGGAAAGGCCCUGCUUGCAGGGUGCUCGAGUGGCGAACGGGUGAGUAACACGUGGGUGAUCUGCCCCUUACUUUGGGAUAAGCCUGGGAAACUGGGUCUAAUACUGGAUAGGACCAUGCUGUAGGUGGUGUGGUGGAAAGAUUAGUUUCGGUAAGGGAUGAGCUCGCGGCCUAUCAGCUUGUUGGUGGGGUAAUGGCCUACCAAGGCGUCGACGGGUAGCCGGCCUGAGAGGGUGGACGGCCACAUUGGGACUGAGAUACGGCCCAGACUCCUACGGGAGGCAGCAGUGGGGAAUAUUGCACAAUGGGCGCAAGCCUGAUGCAGCGACGCCGCGUGGGGGAUGACGGCCUUCGGGUUGUAAACUCCUUUCAGCCAUGACGAAGCCCUUGUGGUGACGGUAGUGGUAGAAGAAGCACCGGCUAACUACGUG
rnacentral:rRNA from 1 species